UCCCGGCGCGAGGCGGCGCCACGGAAACGGGCGGCGGCCGCGGGAACGCGCCCGGCGCGGCGGGAACGGCCCUCGGCCGGGGCUCCCCGGGCACGCGCCUUCCUCAGCUCCCCGCGGGCGGGACGCAGCCCCGCUCGGCUCCCGUCAGGAAGCGUCUCCCUCUACUCCGCCUGAAUUUUCACAUUUUCCAUCCAUCCCAUCAUCUUCUGCUUACGCCGUCACACCACAACGCAGCACCGCGUUUAUGAUUUACGCGGUUAUUCGCGUUUCCUCCCGGGGGCUCCCGGCUGCCGAGCGUUAGGACUUCUGGCCGAGGCUCGGCUGCAGCCGGGCAGUGCCGGCGCUCAGCGCAUCGGCCCCGUAGCGCCCCGCGAACCGCCCGGCCCCGCUGGCGGCACAGCGCCCCCUGCCGGCACAGCACAGCACGGCACAGCGCCCGGACGGAGCCGCUCGGCGGCACGGCCCGCUCCGCUCCGCAGCGCUCAGUGCAAUUCUGGCCGCGUUUUGGCAGUCCGUGUUACGGCACUGAGGGGAAAGAGCGCACACAGGUGGUGCUGCACUCGGCCCUCGUGCGGUGCCACAGCCCCGCUACCUGCUCGUCUUUCUGUUCCGGAGUCUGUGCUGUGAUUUAUAAGCCCUGUGUUGGUGCUUUGGCACCACAGAAAGCACCUGCUUCGUACGGGUCUGUUAGCUAAGGCACAAAGGUCAGAGUGCGAUGGAAUAAGGGUGUAAGCACGUCUCCUGUCAUAGUACUUACACAUCAAGGCUACAAAGUUACCUUAAAGCCACCAUUAACCCAAAUUCUUAACCAUCAUACACCUGGGACAACACUCAUACACUGCUCACGUGCUCCAGCCCCUUUCCUGCCUCCAGAGAGCAGCCAGCUCCAGGAGCAGAACCGAUGCAAAGCUACAUAAUCAGGGAGAUCCCCGCUGCAGUGUGUGGGUCAAGAGAGGAAGCAACACCUCCCAGAGCCCCAUCCUUCAGCCACGGCUUUGAGACUCACACAUUGAACGCUCCCUUGCCAGGAUGAGAUCAGAACCGGCUGGUGGGCUCCUUCGGUGUGCACACAAGACGGAUUUUCUGCCUGCAGAGGCUCUCCUCACCGCCAUCCAAUGUUCCAGGAGUCAGAGCGCCUGCAAUCCAACUCCUGCUCUGCUACUGCCCCGCUGAACGCCGCCUGGUCUCAGGGCUCCUUUCCUUCCUCCCUUUUCCCCAGAAGAUAAGCGCAGAGUAACCACCACCACAGGGGGCUCUGAGAUCUCCGUCCUGUUUGCGCAACGACGCGGGGCUCUGAGCUCCGAGCACAGAAAGGCACCAUUCGCUACAGCCGAUCCAGGCUGAGCCGUCAGCGGCGGACUGCGGUUUCUCGUGAAGAGACCCGCAGCCCCCUGGAAGUGCCCACACAAACAGACGGGCGCGCAGCGCGGGGCAGACGGGCACAGGGGCGGCGCUGAGGGGCAGCACGAGGCCGCUCCGCACAGAACCUUCCAGAACUCCGCCUGGCGCUUCCACACAGCCGGAGCCGCGCUGAGACUUUUUGCUUUACACCAACAGCAAAAGCAAAACCCGAAGAGACUCAAAAAGGAGAAAGUCACAAAAAUAAAGAUAAAACGUUACCUCAGCGUGCCGCUCCAGAGGUCCGGGUCUCAGCCGAGGUUCCCCCUCCGGCGCGGCGCAGCGCCCCCACAGCUCGAGCGGCUGAGGAGCGGCGCGCGGCCGUCCCGCUGCUGGGAGCGCCGUUCCGCGACUGGGAGCGCAGCCCCGCGGAGCUCACACGGACCCCCAGCAGCGCCGCAGGUGCCGACCGCCCGUCAGGCGCCCCGGUCCGCCAUUAGUUCAUUGCAGCUGGCCCCGGUCCCGCUAACAGCUCGCAGCUGGGGCUCGAGGAGCUCGCAGCGCUGCACGAGGAGCGGCGCACAGCCGCGUGCCGACAUCGCAUCCCCGCGUGCAGCGCUGCGCGGUGCCUUCAAACGUACCGUGCAGAAAUAGAGGGACUCCCACCCGUUCCCCCCCUCCCCCCCCGCGCACAGCUCUGCAGUCGUGCAGGGAAAGCAAACUAUUUAACUGUUUCCAUGUGUUGCUCGUUACAGCGAGGUGAAAGGAUUCACGUGAGCGAAGCUGGCUUUAUUGUCCCCAUAAGGUGCUCCGUAAGCCACAGAGGGAACAAUUCCAGCAUCUGACCAGCCGAGGGGGUCAGCGCUCCAAUGAACGCAGCGCUGUGCUGCAAACCCGAGCUUACCCUGCAGCUGCUGAACGUGGAAAGCGAGACGCUCCGUUUCUCACGUCCGCGAGAGGUGCUUAAGGGACAGUUUGGCACCCGGGUAAGAAACUCUGCCCCCGUUACCUUCAUGCUCUUCGCGCACACUUCCAGCUGUGCGGACCCGGGGUCCUUCCUUAGGAAAAGCGGCCACAGAAGGCAGGAAGGGAGGAGAAGCAGAAAUCCAAAGCGUUUUACCCCAAGGAGGAGGAUCUCUAAGUUGGCGCUGCUGUUUCCUUUUUAAUUUCAAUAGUCAAAGUAAAUCACUCACCCACUUCCACAAAAAUAACCCCAGAACUGAAAUAAACCUAACACGGGCAAUGUGUUCAAAGGAGGUUUUUGUCUGACGUCUAUUUCAGGUACAGAUGGAAGCAAAUAAUCUCUGAUGUGAACAAAAACUACAACCAUCGAGGCAGGACCUUAACGCACAGCUGGGUGUUUUAUUUCCAAUUAACCAGAACUAACAAGCAGAUAGAAUUGGUCUCAUAGUGACACCAGAACAGAUCCAGGGAGUGUGUGAGAUACUGCCAUAAAGAGACCAGCCACCCGACAGCACACUGCUAAGACAGGACAAAGAACUGCUGAUUAUAUUACAUUUCAUUUGCUAAGUAAUUCCGAACAUGGCCUAGUGCUUCUAAAAAAACCUGUAUAAAAUGAGUAUUUUUUUACAUCUCAGGCACAUGAAUACAAAUCUGAGCUAUUUUAUAUAUACAGACAUUUACAUUACAUGAAAAUCUGAGUGGAGAUCAAAUGAAAAAUAAAAGCUUUUAUAAAAAGUACCCCAAACAGCAGAGAUGAAAUGUGACAAUACAAUGCAUUCUCACAACAGAGGAGUAAAAGGCACAAAUACUAAAAUGUAUAACCAUGCAAAAGAUGUACGUCCGACCUGUGCAACAAAGCAAAACAAACGGCUCCCACAAGUGGUUUUACAGUAAUUCUCAGCAUAUCACAGUAUUGAAACAUACUGUAAGUGCAACAUUUACUGCCCCGCAGCACAGUGAAGUGUUCACACCAUACCAAAUUCUCCCUUCCCAUUUCCUUUCUCCAAAGCCAGGAUAAUUUAGCUAAGGAUAAAGUAUUAAAUCAAAUGGAGCUGACGUUGGCUGGUGUAACACAAUCAAUGCUCCAGCUGUCUGGGUGGAAGAGUAAGUGCAGCCCUUCUGCAUCCACUACUUACUGCAUAUUGAACGCGUGUCUACCAGAGCAACCCCUUCCCUGCCCUUGGCCAGGGCACAGUGGGCUUUGCAGAGGUUUGCCAGGGUGAAUUUCACUCUGCUGAGAGCGGUGAUGUGAAAGCUGACAGCUCAGAUGUCACAGUUGCACCACUAACAACACCUACAUAAGUAACACACACAGAUUCUAGGGCUAGGUAGCCAAAAUAUACCAAGGAAGUCCAUGUUUAUUAAUGCUUUCUUCACUAGGCUAAAGUUUAAGUUAAAAAUACUCUCUCCCUAAUUAUAUGUUUCAAUGUGUACUGCUCUCACAGUUGAAAUAAAUUCAAGACCAAAGCCAAUAAACCAAAGGAAAAAAAGAAAAAGAAAAGUGCAUAAGGAAGGCAAUGUAGCACUGCCUGCUGGCUCUGCACUGUCACAAACUGCCUGCAGUCACCCAACCUGCUGAUGUUUCAGUCUGAAUGGGCAGCUGCCAUUAUCUGUAAGUUAUGCUUGCUAGGCUAAGCCAGUAGGUUCGUGCCUUGCAAACAGUGUACAAUUACAGCACGCCAUUGGAUAGCUACACAGGAUCGAGGUAAAGCUUACAGGGAUGCCCCAGUGCUGCGGACUUUAGUCUCACUCACAGUGGGACUGAGGUGGUCCUUCCCUCUGAGCCUCAGCAGUGGCUGCUCCUUCGCAUGCUGGAAACACAGAAGGAGCAGGAAUAGUUUGCUUGAUCCUCCCCUGCAAAUAAGGGCACAGCCCUUUGCUCUGCAGAUGACCUGUCACACCGAGGGGGUGCAAGCAAAAGGAGCACAGGAACAAAGCCCACCCUCAAGGAGAUUCCAGCCAGCCUGAAAGAGCCUUUUCUGAGAGCACCAAUUCAGCACGAGGUCCCCUCCCAGACAGAUCACCAUUGAUGUGCACAAACAGUGGAUAACUGAGCUGGUCUGUGCAAAGGGCUCACCUGCAUUUUAACCCUCAGUAAACCUCAACUUUGUCCUUCAGUGUUCAACCUGCAACUGCUGUAUUUUGAUACAGAAGACUGAAUGACCACAAACGAGAUCUCAGGUGGAAAAAAAAAGCACAUGAAACAUUUAUCAGUGCUAAGGGCGGCCAUGAGAGGCUUCUCUGUGGGUGCCAUCAGUUCUUCCUUCUUCAUUUCUUUUUAUUUUUUCCCCCGAGCAUAACAGAACUCUUCUCUCUUUCCUUUCUUUAGUGGUUAUAGAAAACAAAGGGUGAGAGGCAGUAGGUGAGAAUUUUCUCUAAAUCU